rnacentral:rRNA from 1 species
GACGAACGCUGGCGGCGUGCUUAACACAUGCAAGUCGAACGGAAAGGCCCUGCUUUUGUGGGGUGCUCGAGUGUCUAACGGGUGAGUAACACGUGAGUAACCUGCCCUUGACUUUGGGAUAACUUCAGGAAACUGGGGCUAAUACCGGAUAGGAUCUCCUGCUGCAUGGUGGGGGUUGGAAAGUUUCGGCGGUUGGGUAUGGACUCGCGGCUUAUCAGCUUGUUGGUGGGGUAGUGGCUUACCAAGGCUUUGACGGGUAGCCGGCCUGAGAGGGUGACCGGCCACAUUGGGACUGAGAUACGGCCCAGACUCCUACGGGAGGCAGCAGUGGGGAAUAUUGCACAAUGGGCGGAAGCCUGAUGCAGCAACGCCGCGUGCGGGAUGACGGCCUUCGGGUUGUAAACCGCUUUCGCCUGUGACGAAGCGUGAGUGACGGUAAUGGGUAAAGAAGCACCGGCUAACUACGUG